rnacentral:rRNA from 1 species
GUUAGGAAUAUUGGACAAUGGGCGCAAGCCUGAUCCAGCCAUGCCGCGUGAACGAUGAAGGCCUUCGGGUUGUAAAGUUCUUUAGCCGAUGAUUAUAAUGACUGUAGUCGGAAAAUAAGCCCCGGCUAACUUCGUGCCAGCAGCCGCGGUAAUACGAAGGGGGCGAGCGUUAUUCGGAAUCACUGGGCGUAAAGCGUGCGUAGGCGGUCUCGUAAGUUAGGAGUGAAAGCCCAGGGCUCAACCUUGGAAUUGCUCUUAAAAAUGCAAGGCUAGAAUCUCGGAGAGGAUAGCGGAAUUUCCAGUGUAGCAGUGAAAUGCGUAGAUAUUGGAAGGAACACCAGUGGCGUAAGCGGCUAUCUGGACGAGUAUUGACGCUGAGGCACGAAAGCGUGGGGAUCAAACAGGAUUAGAAACCCCUGUAGUCC